rnacentral:rRNA from 1 species
GACGAACGCUGGCGGCGUGCCUAACACAUGCAAGUCGAACGGGGUAUUUCUUCGGAGAUACUUAGUGGCGAACGGGUGAGUAACGCGUGAGAAACCUGCCUUUCAGUGGGGGACAAUAGUUGGAAACGACUGCUAAUACCGCAUAAUGUUAUUUGGGGGCAUCCCUGAAUAACCAAAGAUUUAUUGCUGAAAGAUGGUCUCGCGUCUGAUUAGCUAGUUGGUGGGGUAACGGCCCACCAAGGCGACGAUCAGUAGCCGACCUGAGAGGGUGACCGGCCACAUUGGGACUGAGACACGGCCCAA